UACAUGACAAAUGAUCAGUCGCUCAAUUCAAAACUUAAGAGUGGUUGCGGAGGUAAGAGGAAGUGAAGCCAGUGAUCGGCCAGUUCAUGGAGACGGUGGACAAGAACAACGGCAUCGCCGGAUCCACCACCGAAUCCAACUACUAUGUACGAAUCAUCAGCAUGAUCAACCGCGAGCUGCUUAAACCUUAUGCCUCCGUACUGCUGCACCGCCACUCCUAUGCGCUCGUCGAAGUUGUCCCGUCGAAGGCUGAUUUCAGUAUUUCUCUCCUCAGUCAGUUCGAGAAGCCCGACGUCACUUAUAAUGUUUAAUUAAGGUUAAGUAUGAUAGAUGAUGUGGCGCAUGCAAAGUGGAAAGUAGAGGUGACUUGGCACCUAGGUGGAGGAGAGAGGACAAUAUAAAGCAAAAAGCACAUGAACUGAUGAAGGAUUGACCACUCAAGGACCCAUGGAGACUCCCCCAAGAAGAAUUACUAGAAGCAUGACUAAAGGGGAUGUUCUUUCUUCUAUGUCUCUUUCUUUAUUUUUCAUCUUAAUUUUGUGAUUUCCCUAAGUUGACUUAGUUGCCUUAAUUUUGGUUGACUUGUUGACCUUUGACUAGGGUUGACUCAUUAACUAAAAUUGAUUAAACUUAAGCCAACAUGCUAAUCCUUGUUUAAGUUGUUUUGUAGGUUAUUUUAGUAGAAGGAAGCAUGAUAGGUGGCGCAUGGUGAUUGGGGAGCAUGAUUUGGAGACCACUUUUGUCUCUUUCUCCACCCUUUGGCCGAGAAUCCACAUGGGAAGACACACCACCAUUUCAUUUUGUGCCUAGCUUGAAGAUGCUUCUACAAUUAGGGUUUUCCUUGAUUUUCUAGUUAGCCCUUUUCAUCUGUUGUUUUUUGUUUGGAGAUCCCCAAGACUCUCUAUUUAAGGGGAGCUCUACCAAUUGUAAAAGGGUUGAACAUUUUGAAUCAAAACAUUCUUGUUUCAACCACCAUUUUCGUGAGCUAGCCCUCCUUCUAGGAGUGGAAGAACUCUUUGCCUUAUCUUGCUUAUGCAAGUGGCGACACCAUAUCAUUCAUCUAUAGAGCUUGGUUUGGCUUUGCCCCCUCUAAGAGUGGCGUGCUCCACUUCCAUAACCAUUACUCUCUUCUCUUCCAUUUUGUUUUUGUUCUUCUUUGUUUCCAUUGCAUUUUCGUUUUGUGUUUCCAUCCAUGUAUUUCGUUUUAAAAUGCAAUCCAUCUCCUUCUUCCUUUGAGCUCUUGGAAAUGAACCUUCACAUCUAGAUAGCUUGCUAUCUUAAUGUUCAGUGGAAAUUUCCUUGAGUUUUCUUAAACAACUCAACACCAUAUUCAAUAAUCUUAAAAGGAAACAAGAUAAUCCUUCAUCAUGAACCUUGUACCACCUUUGUACCACUUUUCUCUUUUGUCUUUAGCACCUUUUGGCCUUUUGUGAGACAUUUGAGACACAUUUUAUGGAGGCCUUUAAGGCUUGGACGAAAAUCACAUUGCACACACCAUAGUUAGUCCAUUUGUCUCUCAUUUUGUAACCUAAUUUGACUUAGUUUCUAGAAGCUAGAAUUAGGAUUUUGUAGAGACAUACUUAUGUAUCUUUUAUUUGCUUAGAAACCCCUAAACUCUUCUAUAUAAGGGAUGUUCCUAGGCUUGUAAAAGGACUUGUAAAAGGGUUGAUCAAAAUUGAGUAAAACUUAUAUUGUUUCAACCACAAAACCAUGAGCUCUCCUCUAAGGAGUGGAGACUCUUCCUUUGUCUUAUCUUGCAUAGCAAGUGGUGACCUCCUUAAUCAUCUCUAGGGUUGGUUAGCCUUUUGGCUCCCCUAUGUGUGUCAUGUUUCCCCUUCACCAUUUUCAUUUUCUAUUGCUUCCACUUCCAUUUUGUUGUUGUUUUCCUCUAUUUCAAUUCGGUUUUCUUGAUAUAAUGCUCAUUUUCUUUUGUUUCUUGGUUGAAAUCAUCACUCUCCUCUAGAAUCUCUAGAAGUGAACCUUCACAUCUAAAUAAUUUGUUAUCUUAUUAGUGGGAUCUUGUCUAGGUUUUCUUAAGAAAUCUAACACCACAUUUCAUAAAAUCUAAAACGAACUACAUCACGUUGUGUCAUGAAGACAACCAACUACUGGACCUGCACUUCUAGCACUGGCUAUGGUGGCGAGGCUUAUAACUAUCAUGCGCACACACUUAGAAAGAAUGCAUAUUGAAAAUGCAGAGAAGAAGAGAAAGAAUAAAUGAAAGACUGAAGAUGCUACAAAGCCUUGUCCCGAACGGAAUCUAAGGUAGAUUUCUCAAUCAAUAUCUAACUACUGCCUAAGUCAAACAAGUGGUUGACUUAAGAUGCUGAAUUUUGCUUCCUCGUGAAUUGCAUGCUUGAGGAAGCCGUUCAAUAUGUGAAGUUUUUACAACUCCAAAUUAAGCUUCCGUGCUCUGAUGAUCUUUGAAUUGAUGAUCUUUGGAUGUACCCUCCUAUUGCUUACAAUGGAAUGAACUAGACCUCAAUUUUACCCCAACCAAAAAGCCAUAAGUAAAUUGCAUAGCAAUGAAAGGGUGAUGAUGCAACAGCAAUAUGGGAGCUUCCUUUUAUGACGUUUCGAUUAUAUUCAUAAGUAUGUAUUAACUGCCAUUUGAUCAUUAGGAAGUUUGAGAAUUUUCUGUUCAUAAAGCAAGAGAUUGAUAAAUUAAAGCGAACCUUGUGUAUUUUUUAACCAUGAGAAAUCAUUUUCGGUUGA